rnacentral:rRNA from 1 species
AGAGUUUGAUCCUGGCUCAGAUUGAACGCUGGCGGCAUGCUUUACACAUGCAAGUCGAACGGGGUUAAGGGGCUUGCUCCUUAAUCUAGUGGCGAACGGGUGAGUAAUGCAUCGGAACGUACCCGGGAGUGGGGGAUAACGCACCGAAAGGUGUGCUAAUACCGCAUAUUCUGUGAGCAGGAAAGCAGGGGACCUUAGGGCCUUGUGCUUCCGGAGCGGCCGAUGUCGGAUUAGCUAGUUGGUGAGGUAAAGGCUCACCAAGGCGACGAUCCGUAGCGGGUCUGAGAGGAUGAUCCGCCACACUGGGACUGAGACACGGCCCAGACUCCUACGGGAGGCAGCAGUGGGGAAUUUUGGACAAUGAGCGCAAGCCUGAUCCAGCCAUGCCGCGUGUCUGAAGAAGGCCU